GAUGAACGCUAGCUACAGGCUUAACACAUGCAAGUCGAGGGGUAACGAGAGGAAAGCUUGCUUUCCUUGUCGACGACCGGCGCACGGGUGAGUAACGCGUAUCCAACCUGCCCCCAACUAGGGAAUAACCUUGCGAAAGUAAGACUAAUACCCUAUAAUUUCCUCAGAUGUCAUCUGACGAGGAAUAAAGAUUUAUCGGUUGUGGAUGGGGAUGCGUCUGAUUAGCUUGUUGGCGGGGUAACGGCCCACCAAGGCAACGAUCAGUAGGGGUUCGGAGAGGAAGGUCCCCCACAUGGGAACUGAGACACGGUCCCAACUCCUACGGGAGGCAGCAGUGAGGAAUAUUGGUCAAUGGGCGGAAGCCUGAACCAGCCAAGUAGCGUGCAGGAUGACGGCCCUAUGGGUUGUAAACUGCUUUUAUACAGGAAUAAAGUUAGCCACGUGUGGUUAUUUGUAGGUACUGUAUGAAUAAGGACCGGCUAAUUCCGUGCCAGCCGCCGCGGUAA
rnacentral:rRNA from 1 species